AUUGAACGCUGGCGGCAGGCCUAACACAUGCAAGUCGAGCGGAUGAAGGGAGCUUGCUCCUGGAUUCAGCGGCGGACGGGUGAGUAAUGCCUAGGAAUCUGCCUGGUAGUGGGGGAUAACGUCCGGAAACGGGCGCUAAUACCGCAUACGUCCUGAGGGAGAAAGUGGGGGAUCUUCGGACCUCACGCUAUCAGAUGAGCCUAGGUCGGAUUAGCUAGUUGGUGGGGUAAAGGCCUACCAAGGCGACGAUCCGUAACUGGUCUGAGAGGAUGAUCAGUCACACUGGAACUGAGACACGGUCCAGACUCCUACGGGAGGCAGCAGUGGGGAAUAUUGGACAAUGGGCGAAAGCCUGAUCCAGCCAUGCCGCGUGUGUGAAGAAGGUCUUCGGAUUGUAAAGCCCUUUAAGUUGGGAGGAAGGGCAGUAAGUUAAUACCUUGCUGUUUUGACGUUACCCAAAGAAUAAGCACCGGCUAACUUCGUG
rnacentral:rRNA from 1 species